rnacentral:tRNA from 1 species
GCCAAUGUAGCUCAGCCUGGCUAGAGCAUUCGCCUUGUAAGCGAAAGGUCGAGAGUCCAAAUCUCUCCAUUGGCU